rnacentral:piRNA from 1 species
GAAUGUGAAUGGAAGCUUGGAGAG